GAUGAACGCUGGCGGCGUGCCUAAUACAUGCAAGUCGAGCGAACAGACGAGGAGCUUGCUCCUCUGACGUUAGCGGCGGACGGGUGAGUAACACGUGGAGAACCUACCUAUAAGACUGGGAUAACUUCGGGAAACCGGAGCUAAUACCGGAUAAUAUAUUGAACCGCAUGGUUCAAUAGUGAAAGACGGUUUUGCUGUCACUUAUAGAUGGAUCCGCGCCGCAUUAGCUAGUUGGUAAGGUAACGGCUUACCAAGGCAACGAUGCGGAGCCGACCUGAGAGGGUGAUCGGCCACACUGGAACUGAGACACGGUCCAGACUCCUACGGGAGGCAGCAGUAGGGAAUCUUCCGCAAUGGGCGAAAGCCUGACGGAGCAACGCCGCGUGAGUGAUGAAGGUCUUCGGAUCGUAAAACUCUGUUAUUAGGGAAGAACAAAUGUGUAAGUAACUAUGCACGUCUUGACGGUACCUAAUCAGAAAGCCACGGCUAACUCCGUG
rnacentral:rRNA from 1 species